rnacentral:rRNA from 1 species
CCAAAAUCCGGCAGCUCUUAACUCCGAGGUGUGAUGACGAGGCUCCACGCGAGCCGAAGUGAAUAACGCCCCGCUUCCAGGAAAAGCCUCUAAGCUUCAGAUCACAUUGGACCGUACCGUAAACCGACACUGGUGGGUGAGCAGAUAAUCUGCCAAGGCGCUUGAGAGAACUCGGGUUAAGGAACUCUGCAAAUUGAUACCGUAACUUCAAGAAGGUAUGCCUUCGACGGUGUAGGGAUUUACUCCCGAAGCUGUUGAAGGUCGCAGGUAAUCGGUGGCUGCGACUGUUUAUCAAAAACACAGGACUCUGCGAACACGCAAGUGGAAGUAUAGGGUCUGACGCCUGCCCGGUGCCGGAAGGUUAAUUGAUGGGGUUAGCCGCAAGGCGAAGCUCUUGAUCGAAGCCCCGGUAAACGGCGGCCGUAACGAUAACGGUCCUAAGGUAGCGAAAUUCCUUGUCGGGUAAGUUCCGACCUGCACGAAUGGCGUAACGCUGGCCACACUGUCUCGACCCGAGACUCAGUGAAGUUGAAAUCGCUGUGAAGAUGCGGCGUUCCCGCGGCAAGACGGAAAGACCCCGUGAACCUUCACUACAGCUUUACACUGAACUUUGAACCUUUCUGUGUAGGAUAGGUGGGAGGCUAUGAAACUUGGGCGCUAGCUCGAGUGGAGCCAACCUUGAAAUACCACCCUGGGAUGUUUGAAGUUCUAACCUUGGUCCGUAAUCCGGAUUGGGGACAGUGUAUGGUGGGUAGUUUGACUGGGGCGGUCUCCUCCCAAAGAGUAACGGAGGAGUGCAAUGGUACGCUCAGCGCGGUCGGUCAUCGCGCUCUAGAGUGCAAAGGCAUAAGCGUGCUUAACUGUGAGACAGACACGUCGAACAGGUACGAAAGUAGGUCUUAGUGAUCCGGUGGUUCUGUAUGGAAGGGCCAUCGCUCAACGGAUAAAAGGUACUCCGGGGAUAACAGGCUUAUUCCUCCCAAGAGUCCACAUCGACGGAGGAGUUUGGCACCUCGAUGUCGGCUCAUCACAUCCUGGGGCUGUAGCAGGUCCCAAGGGUAUGGCUGUUCGCCAUUUAAAGUGGUACGCGAGCUGGGUUCAGAACGUCGUGAGACAGUUCGGUCCCUAUCUGCCGUGGGCGUUGGAAACUUGAGGGUGAGCUGUCCUUAGUACGAGAGGACCGGGAUGGACGUAUCUCUGGUGUUCCGGUUGUCACGCCAGUGGCACUGCCGGGUAGCUAUAUACGGACGGGAUAAGCGCUGAAAGCAUCUAAGCGCGAAGCCCCCCCCAAGAUUAGGUUUCCCUGGGAACUCGAUUCCCCUAAAGGGCCGUCGGAGACUACGACGUUGAUAGGCUGGGUGUGUAAGUGCAGCAAUGCAUUGAGCUAACCAGUACUAAUUGCCCGUGAGGCUUGACC